rnacentral:rRNA from 1 species
AUUAAGCCUGCAUGUCUCAGUAUAAGUCUUUAUAUGGCAAAACUGCGAAUGGCUCAUUAAAACAGUUAUAGUCUACAUGGUGUUUGCUUCUAUAUGGAUAACUGUGCUAAUUGUAGAGCUAAUACAUGCGUCAAAGCCCGACUUCACGGAAGGGUUGUAUUUAUUAGAUACAGAACCAAUCCCGCAAGGGUUUUUGGAUGAUUCAUAAUAAAUGAAUGAAGCGCAUGGCUCCGGCCGGCGCUGUAUCAUUCGAGUUUCUGACCUAUCAGUUGGUCGGUGGGGUAUUGGCCCACCGUGACAGUGACGGGUAACGGAGAAUUAGGGUUCGAUUCCGGAGAGGGAGCCCGAGAAACGGCUACCACAUCUAAGGAAGGCAGCAGGCGCGCAAAUUACCCAAUGCCGACACGGCGAGGUAGUGACAAGAAAUAACAAUGCAAGCCCGCUGGGUUAUUGUAUUUGGAAUGAGUAGAAUUUAAAUCCCUUUACGAAUCAAUUGGAGGGCAAGUCUGGUGCCAGCAGCCGCGGUAAUUCCAGCUCCAAUAGCGUAUAUUAAAGUUGUUGCGGUUAAAAAGCUCGUAGUUGGAUUUCUGUCGGGAAUGGACGGUCCACACNCUGUGUGAGUAUCUGUAUCAGUCCUGGCAUUCCUCCUAAAGAACGUACUGCUCUUAACUGAGUGGNGCGGAAUCUAGGACUUUUACUUUGA